AGCAGUAGCCGCGGUAAUACGUAGGGUGCAAGCGUUAAUCGGAAUUACUGGGCGUAAAGCGUGCGCAGGCGGUUAUAUAAGACAGAUGUGAAAUCCCCGGGCUCAACCUGGGAACUGCAUUUGUGACUGUAUAGCUAGAGUACGGCAGAUGGGGAUGGAAUUCCGCGUGUAGCAGUGAAAUGCGUAGAUAUGCGGAGGAACACCGAUGGCGAAGGCAAUCCCCUGGGCCUGUACUGACGCUCAUGCACGAAAGCGUGGGGAGCAAACAGGAUUAGAUACCCCCGUAGUCCCUGUCUCUUAUAC
rnacentral:rRNA from 1 species